AGGAGAGAGGGGAGGAGAGGGAGAGGGGAGAAGGAGAGAGGAGGAGAGGAGGAGAGAGGAGGAGGAGGGGAGGAGGAGAAGGAGGAAGGAGGAGGAAGGAGAAGGAGAGAGGGGGAGGAGAAGGAGGAGGAGGAGGCAGGAGGGGAGAAGAGGGAAAGGAGGGGGAGGACAAGGAAGGAGAGAGGGGAGGGAGGGAGGAGGGAGGAGGAGAGGGGAAGGAGGGAGGGAGGAUGGAGAAGGAGGAAGGAGGAGGAGGAGGAGAAGAGGAGGAGGAGGGGGAGGGGGGAGGAGGAGGAGAGAGGGGGGAGGAGAAGGAGAAGGAGGAGGAGAUGGAGGGGGGAAGAAGGGAGGAGGAGGAGGAGGAGAGAAGGCAGGAGGAGGAGGAGGAGGAGGAGAAAGGAGGAGCGGAAGUGGACAGGACCAGGCACAUGACGCAGCAGCAUCCAGCCUUAGCCUGUCCACGUCCACCCCUACCUCAUUACCACCUCCCUCCCUCCCUCCACCCCUGAGGUUGACUUUCCAGAAGCCACAGGCUACAGAGAAGGGGAAAGGUGACCGAAUGAUGGCAACAGCCCAGGCCUACCCCCAAGGUGCUCCUGACAGCAGAGAAGAAAACAGGAGAAGAAAGAAGGAACACAGUGACCCAGGCCCCACCUGUGCUGAGGAGCUGCUGGUCUCUGCAGGCACGUACUCAUGGGCUUGUUCGUGGCGCCUCUGAUGUCUGCAGCGCACAGACCCCUCAAAUCCCUGCUUCUAGCCAGGAGCCGUCUCUUUAAUCUCCUCACCAUGGGAGGCAUUGCAGCACGCUGGUAAUUGCUUUUGGAAACAUGGUACCAGUUUAAUUUGUAGAACUUGUCCUAGGC
rnacentral:lncRNA from 1 species